rnacentral:lncRNA from 1 species
UAUGAUACUAUUCUAGAAUUUGAUCUUAAUUCUUCUAACAAAAAGAGACACCUAAAGAGAGGUUCAUUGGGGUUUCUAAUUAAAAGAACGUGUAAAUUCACAUGAUAUACUAAACAAUAAACAAUCCUGAAGAAAUGUCAAGAGCAAUUAUUGGAAAUUCGAUGUAAAUCCGCACAUGUGCAGUUGUUUCAAAUGCAAAUGAAGAUUGAAGAAAAAUAAGCAAUCAUAUCUCACCAUGAGAAACCAUUUUAAGGCCGAAGACUGUAAAAGAUAUUAAAGAGAUUCCCGCCAGCAAAAUAAGACAAUGCGAAAAUUUUGGUUUAGCAAUCCGAUCAAUCCUCCUUCCUCGACGAACUAUCCGGAUGCCAUGCCUAGUUUGACCAAGAGAACUUAGAACAGACCCGAUGAUGCUUCUUUGUUCUGGUAACAAAUCACUAUUGUAUUUAUACAGCGCCAUUUUGACAUAAUUCGAGACCUUAAACCAGUUCACUGCAAAAUAAUUUUAACCAAACAAGGAUAACUCAAAUCAGACAGUACGAAUCAUUUCUGUUACAGAAUUCAGAUUCGAUGGUUUAACCCUAAAGAGAUUCGUCUAUUUUAGCUCAGAAUUAUUAUGGCACUGAUCUUAAAAGAAAAACAUAUGAAUUUUCGAAAAGAAAACAUGAGAAUCAAAAUCGAAUCGAUGGAUUACAUCAUCAAAAUCUCACUCCCCAAAAAGCGAGUGGAGCUUGAGAACCGUGACCGUAUAGAUGGGUUAGCCUCAGUUUGUUUUUUACUAAUUACUCGCGGUAAAUAUUUGGUUUUUUUUUUC